GGGUUUUUCGCGCCGCCACCGACUCUACCACCGUUUGGUCCUGCUUCCUGCCCCACGACCCCCCCGCUUCCGCAACCUGCAGCCAGCACAACCCUCCCCCAUCCUGCUGCAGCAGUCCGGAUCUGCUGCAACCCACCCAGAAAAAGUCGUCGCCCACCUCCAUCCACAGCAGCACUGGUCGCCGCCUCCUUGGGUCCUACCUCGAGCAGCAGCGGCCACCUCCUCCCUCCACCACUUCGCUGCCCUCUCGAUGCGCCGUCACCACCGCGCCGCCGUCCCGGUCCUCCACCACCGCUGAUGACUUGCACAGAAAAAAGGGGGCACCGAAACCCAAGUCACCGCCGGCACAGAAAUCGCCGCCUCGUGCCCGCUACUCGACCGCCUCGUCGUCGACUUCUUCGAUCGCGCCGUCAAGGACCCAAGGAGGGGGAGGUCUUGAGGUUGGAUUGUGACCGGGAGGUUGAAGGAGACUAAUGGCUUCGAUAUCGGAUAGCGAGAUGACGAAUCAUGGGAGCAUAUGGGAGUUGGAUCAGAACCUUGAUCAGCCCAUGGAUGAGGAGGCUAGCAGGCUCAAAAACAUGUACAGAGAAAAGAAGUUUUCAUCAAUUUUGUUACUACGGCUCGCAUUUCAGAGCUUGUUGUAGUCUUUGGUGACUUAGGUACAUCCCCGUUGUAUGUUUUCUACAAUGCCUUCCCUCAUGGAGUAGAUGAUGACGAGGGUGUUAUUGGAGCUCUUUCCUUGUUCAUUUACACCAUCACUCUCAUUCCUCUGAUGGAGUAUGUCUUUAUUUGUCUUGGGGGCAAAUGAUAAUGGUUCUACAACCUUAAAAGCGCCUGAAGGUUGAGCCGGUUGGGCCUAGCACCGGGGAGAAGCUUUGAAGCCUAACAUUGCUUCAGUUAACCUGUCCCAUGAGAAUCCAACUGAACAUUUGCUUCCCAGGCCAAUGAAAAAUUGAACAGCAAGAACAUGGAGCAGCAUAUCUUUAUAGCAUAACUAGGCAUUUGGGCUGGACUAUUUGGAAAAACCAGAAAUAAUGCUUGUCUCAUGCAUAAUAUGCCUGCUGAUCCAAUUGAGUGGUUCUUAUGAUGUGUUCUUGGUUGAAAUUUUCGCCUGCUCUGAAGAAAAAUGAGGAGGGUGAGAAGUUGCAAUGGGAUCUCAACAACUGCACGAAGUUGCGAUAGAUUUUAACAACCUGGCGAAACAAUGGGUACCCUUGCAUAGAAGAUUGACAGGUCAAUCAUUAAAAUAUGAUGGAUGAUCUACUUCUG